rnacentral:lncRNA from 1 species
UUUUUAGUCUUUCGUGACGACAUUAGUUGACCAACCACAUGAUUUAACAAAUGAUGUACAUCUAUAUGCACUAACUGGCAAUCAAUUUUGUCAUCAGGACCAGUUAGCAUAACUUUUUCUUCCAUAGAAGUAGAAGGUGAAGAGAAGUCCAAGAUCAAAGAUGCAGUGGUGGUGUCAAUAACAGAUAAGAAAUCAAAACUUGUGCAACAAGUUUUAUGCCCUAAUUGAGGAAGUGCAUUGUGUGUUGGGCUAGACAUAUGUAUAUGGUAGCGACUAUGUAAUGGAUGGCCUUGGAG